GGCAUCUCCUUUGAAUAAAAAAAAAAUAUUCAUCCAAUUAGAAUUACUUCAGAACGUAAUACUAAUUUUAGAAAGAAAAUCCAAAGGCCAAGGCAACUUUCCUUCAUAUAUAUACAUUAUUAUUUUUCACAAACAAGAGCCAUGUUGAGGUAUGGUACAUACAUUCAAAAGCAGAGGUACAUAUUACAUCCUAUUCUAUUCCAAAAACAAAGAUAGCUAGGUAAGAUGGUGUCUAAUCUUCUAUUUCUUCUGGAUCCUCAUCGGGGUCUUCAUCUGGGUCUUCUUCUUGGUCUUCUUCUAACGUGCUUUGCUCCGAACUAUCUGGUAAUGGUACGGGAAAACUUUCAUCUAGAACUCUUGAAAAGCACUUAGCCAACGGUCCC
rnacentral:lncRNA from 1 species